rnacentral:rRNA from 1 species
UCUAAGCAUCAGGUAACAUUAAAUCGUACCCCAAACCGACACAGGUGGUCAGGUAGAGAAUACCAAGGCGCUUGAGAGAACUCGGGUGAAGGAACUAGGCAAAAUGGUGCCGUAACUUCGGGAGAAGGCACGCUGGCAUGUAGGUGAAGUCCCUCGCGGAUGGAGCUGAAGCCAGUCGAAGAUACCAGCUGGCUGCAACUGUUUAAUAAAAACACAGCACUGUGCAAACACGAAAGUGGACGUAUACGGUGUGACGCCUGCCCGGUGCUGGAAGGUUAAUUGAUGGGGUCAGCCGCAAGGCGAAGCUCUUGAUCGAAGCCCCAGUAAACGGCGGCCGUAACUAUAACGGUCCUAAGGUAGCGAAAUUCCUUGUCGGGUAAGUUCCGACCUGCACGAAUGGCGUAAUGAUGGCCAGGCUGUCUCCACCCGAGACUCAGUGAAAUUGAACUCGCUGUGAAGAUGCAGUGUACCCGCGGCAAGACGGAAAGACCCCGUGAACCUUUACUAUAGCUUGACACUGAACAUUGAGCCUUGAUGUGUAGGAUAGGUGGGAGGCUUUGAAGCGUGGACGCCAGUCUGCGUGGAGCCAUCCUUGAAAUACCACCCUUUAAUGUUUGAUGUUCUAACUCGGCCCCGUGAUCCGGGGUGAGGACAGUGUCUGGUGGGUAGUUUGACUGGGGCGGUCUCCUCCCAAAGAGUAACGGAGGAGCACGAAGGUUAGCUAAUCACGGUCGGACAUCGUGAGGUUAGUGCAAAGGCAUAAGCUAGCUUGACUGCGAGAGUGACGGCUCGAGCAGGUACGAAAGUAGGUCUUAGUGAUCCGGUGGUUCUGAAUGGAAGGGCCAUCGCUCAACGGAUAAAAGGUACUCCGGGGAUAACAGGCUGAUACCGCCCAAGAGUUCAUAUCGACGGCGGUGUUUGGCACCUCGAUGUCGGCUCAUCACAUCCUGGGGCUGAAGUAGGUCCCAAGGGUAUGGCUGUUCGCCAUUUAAAGUGGUACGCGAGCUGGGUUUAGAACGUCGUGAGACAGUUCGGUCCCUAUCUGCCGUGGGCGUUGGAAGAUUGAGAGGGGUUGCUCCUAGUACGAGAGGACCGGAGUGAACGCACCACUGGUGUUCGGGUUGUCAUGCCAAUGGCAUUGCCCGGUAGCUAAGUGCGGAAAAGAUAAGCGCUGAAAGCAUCUAAGCGCGAAACUUGCCUCAAGAUGAGUCUUCCCUGGGCCUUUAAGGCCCCUGAAGGAACGUUUAAGACUAAGACGUUGAUAGGCUGGGUGUGUAAGUGCAGCGAUGCAUUGAGCUAACCAGUACUAAUGAUCCGUGAGGCUUAACCUU